rnacentral:rRNA from 1 species
CAAUAGCGUAUAUUAAAGUUGUUGCAGUUAAAAAGCUCGUAGUUGGAUUUCUGGGAGGGUGCUAAUCGUCCGCCGUAGCGCGUGUGCAGCAGCGCCCUUCCAUCCUUCUGUUAACGCCUCUUGGCAUUUGUUUGCUGGUGGCGGGCUCAGAUAUUUUACCUUGAGAAAAUUAGAGUGUUUCAGGCAGGCUAGGCCGGAAUAUAUUAGCAUGGAAUAAUGGAAUAGGACUAUGGUCUCUUUGUUGGUUUUGUAGGGACUGCAGUAAUGAUUAAUAGGGAGUAGUUGGGGGCGAUUAGUAUUUAAUUGUCAGAGGUGGAAUUCUCAGAUUUGUUAAAGACUAACUUAUGCGAAAGCAUUUGCCAAGGAUGUUUUUCAUUAAUCAAGAACGAAAGUUAGGGGA